UUCCGGUUGAUCCUGCGGAGAUCACUGCUAUUGGAAUUCGGCUAAGGCAUGCGAGUCGAGAGGGUUCGGCCCUCGGCGGACGGCUCAGUAACACGUGGAUAAUCUGCCCUUAGGCGGGGGAUAAUCUCGAGAAAUUGAGCAUAAUACCCCAUAGUUCUAGAUUGCUGGAAUGCUUCUAGAAUGAAAGCUCAGGCGCCUAAGGAUGAGUCUGCGGCCUAUCAGGUUGUAGUGAGUGUAACGGACUCACUAGCCGACGACGGGUACGGGUCCUGGAAGGGAGUGCCCGGAGAUGGACUCUGAGACACGAGUCCAGGCCCUACGGGGCGCAGCAGCUACGAAAACUUCACAAUGCGGGCAACCGCGAUGAGGGAAUUCCAAGUGCUAAUACUUUGUAUUAGCUGUUUACUUGCCUAAAAAGCAGGUAGAGUAAGGGCUGGGUAAGACUGGUGCCAGCCGCCGCGGUAAUACCAGCAGCUCAAGUGGUGAUCGUUUUUAUUGGGCCUAAAGCGUCCGUAGCCGGUCUGUUAAACCCUUGGGUAAAUCGGGCAGCUUAACUGUCCGACUUCUGAGGAGACUGCCAGACUUGGGACCGGGAGAGGUUAGAGGUACUCUUAGGGUAGGGGUGAAAUCCUGUAAUCCUAAGAGGACCACCAGUGGCGAAGGCGUCUAACUAGAACGGGUCCGACGGUAAGGGACGAAGCCCUGGGUCACGAACCGGAUUAGAUACCCGGGUAGUCCAGGGUGUAAACGCUGCGGGCUUGGUGUUGGGGGUCCUACGAGGGCGUCCAGUGCCGGAGAGAAGUUGUUAAGCCCGCCGCCUGGGGAGUACGGCCGCAAGGUUGAAACUUAAAGGAAUUGGCGGGGGAGCACAGCAACGGGUGGAGCGUGCGGUUUAAUUGGAUCAACGCCGGG
rnacentral:rRNA from 1 species